rnacentral:rRNA from 1 species
UGCCAAUUAAUUUAACUUGGGAGUCAGAACAUGGGUGAUAAGGUCCGUGUUCGAAAGGGAAACAGCCCAGACCACCAGCUAAGGUCCCAAAAUAUAUGUUAAGUGGAAAAGGAUGUGGCGUUGCCCAGACAACUAGGAUGUUGGCUUAGAAGCAGCCAUCAUUUAAAGAGUGCGUAAUAGCUCACUAGUCGAGUGACACUGCGCCGAAAAUGUACCGGGGCUAAACAUAUUACCGAAGCUGUGGAUUGUCCUUUGGACAAUGGUAGGAGAGCGUUCUAAGGGCGUUGAAGCAUGAUCGUAAGGACAUGUGGAGCGCUUAGAAGUGAGAAUGCCGGUGUGAGUAGCGAAAGACGGGUGAGAAUCCCGUCCACCGAUUGACUAAGGUUUCCAGAGGAAGGCUCGUCCGCUCUGGGUUAGUCGGGUCCUAAGCUGAGGCCGACAGGCGUAGGCGAUGGAUAACAGGUUGAUAUUCCUGUACCACCUAUAAUCGUUUUAAUCGAUGGGGGGACGCAGUAGGAUAGGCGAAGCGUGCGAUUGGAUUGCACGUCUAAGCAGUAAGGCUGAGUAUUAGGCAAAUCCGGUACUCGUUAAGGCUGA